GACAGCAGCCGCCACGGUAAUACGGAGGGUGCAAGCGUUAAUCGGAAUUACUGGGCGUAAAGCGCACGCAGGCGGUUUGUUAAGUCAGAUGUGAAAUCCCCGAGCUUAACUUGGGAACUGCAUUUGAAACUGGCAAGCUAGAGUCUUGUAGAGGGGGGUAGAAUUCCAGGUGUAGCGGUGAAAUGCGUAGAGAUCUGGAGGAAUACCGGUGGCGAAGGCGGCCCCCUGGACAAAGACUGACGCUCAGGUGCGAAAGCGUGGGGAGCAAACAGGAUUAGAUACCCCAGUAGUCCCUGUCUCUUAUAC
rnacentral:rRNA from 1 species